AUAACGCGACGAUGGCAACGGCGAACCCUUGACGUCUGGAAUUAACACAUCCAACGGAGAUGAACCCGGUCCGAGCCGGAGAGAAAAAAGAAAGACCCCCCAAUUUGGGCUAGGAAUUCGUUUAAGUGGGAAGUUUUACAUCUAAGUCUUAGGAAUAAAUAAAUAAAUAACAAACAUUGUAAUGCUACUUUUAUUUCUAA
rnacentral:lncRNA from 1 species